rnacentral:rRNA from 1 species
GUGGGGAAUAUUGGGCAAUGGGGGAAACCCUGACCCAGCAACGCCGCGUGAAGGAAGAAGGCUUUCGGGUUGUAAACUUCUUUUAUGAGGGACGAAGGAUUGACGGUACCUCAUGAAUAAGCCACGGCUAACUACGUGCCAGCAGCCGCGGUAAUACGUAGGUGGCAAGCGUUGUCCGGAAUUAUUGGGCGUAAAGGGAGCGCAGGCGGGAAGGUAAGUCGGUCUUAAAAGUGCGGGGCUCAACCCCGUGAUGGGAUGGAAACUAUCUUUCUUGAGUGAAGGAGAGGAAAGUGGAAUUCCUAGUGUAGCGGUGAAAUGCGUAGAUAUUAGGAGGAACACCAGUGGCGAAGGCGACUUUCUGGACGAAAACUGACGCUGAGGCGCGAAAGCCAGGGGAGCGAACGGGAUUAGAAACCCCAGUAGUCC